rnacentral:rRNA from 1 species
CUUGAUGAGUAGGGCGGGACACGUGGUAUCCUGUCUGAAUAUGGGGGGACCAUCCUCCAAGGCUAAAUACUCCUGACUGACCGAUAGUGAACCAGUACCGUGAGGGAAAGGCGAAAAGAACCCCGGCGAGGGGAGUGAAAAAGAACCUGAAACCGUGUACGUACAAGCAGUGGGAGCACGCUUAGGCGUGUGACUGCGUACCUUUUGUAUAAUGGGUCAGCGACUUAUAUUCUGUAGCAAGGUUAACCGAAUAGGGGAGCCGAAGGGAAACCGAGUCUUAACUGGGCGUUAAGUUGCAGGGUAUAGACCCGAAACCCGGUGAUCUAGCCAUGGGCAGGUUGAAGGUUGGGUAACACUAACUGGAGGACCGAACCGACUAAUGUUGAAAAAUUAGCGGAUGACUUGUGGCUGGGGGUGAAAGGCCAAUCAAACCGGGAGAUAGCUGGUUCUCCCCGAAAGCUAUUUAGGUAGCGCCUCGUGAAUUCAUCUCCGGGGGUAGAGCACUGUUUCGGCAAGGGGGUCAUCCCGACUUACCAACCCGAUGCAAACUGCGAAUACCGGAGAAUGUUAUCACGGGAGACACACGGCGGGUGCUAACGUCCGUCGUGAAGAGGGAAACAACCCAGACCGCCAGCUAAGGUCCCAAAGUCAUGGUUAAGUGGGAAACGAUGUGGGAAGGCCCAGACAGCCAGGAUGUUGGCUUAGAAGCAGCCAUCAUUUAAAGAAAGCGUAAUAGCUCACUGGUCGAGUCGGCCUGCGCGGAAGAUGUAACGGGGCUAAACCAUGCACCGAAGCUGCGGCAGCGACGCUUAUGCGUUGUUGGGUAGGGGAGCGUUCUGUAAGCCUGCGAAGGUGUGCUGUGAGGCAUGCUGGAGGUAUCAGAAGUGCGAAUGCUGACAUAAGUAACGAUAAAGCGGGUGAAAAGCCCGCUCGCCGGAAGACCAAGGGUUCCUGUCCAACGUUAAUCGGGGCAGGGUGAGUCGACCCCUAAGGCGAGGCCGAAAGGCGUAGUCGAUGGGAAACAGGUUAAUAUUCCUGUACUUGGUGUUACUGCGAAGGGGGGACGGAGAAGGCUAUGUUGGCCGGGCGACGGUUGUCCCGGUUUAAGCGUGUAGGCUGGUUUUCCAGGCAAAUCCGGAAAAUCAAGGCUGAGGCGUGAUGACGAGGCACUACGGUGCUGAAGCAACAAAUGCCCUGCUUCCAGGAAAAGCCUCUAAGCAUCAGGUAACAUCAAAUCGUACCCCAAACCGACACAGGUGGUCAGGUAGAGAAUACCAAGGCGCUUGAGAGAACUCGGGUGAAGGAACUAGGCAAAAUGGUGCCGUAACUUCGGGAGAAGGCACGCUGAUAUGUAGGUGAAGUCCCUUGCGGAUGGAGCUGAAAUCAGUCGAAGAUACCAGCUGGCUGCAACUGUUUAUUAAAAACACAGCACUGUGCAAACACGAAAGUGGACGUAUACGGUGUGACGCCUGCCCGGUGCCGGAAGGUUAAUUGAUGGGGUCAGCGCAAGCGAAGCUCUUGAUCGAAGCCCCGGUAAACGGCGGCCGUAACUAUAACGGUCCUAAGGUAGCGAAAUUCCUUGUCGGGUAAGUUCCGACCUGCACGAAUGGCGUAAUGAUGGCCAGGCUGUCUCCACCCGAGACUCAGUGAAAUUGAACUCGCUGUGAAGAUGCAGUGUACCCGCGGCAAGACGGAAAGACCCCGUGAACCUUUACUAUAGCUUGACACUGAACAUUGAGCCUUGAUGUGUAGGAUAGGUGGGAGGCUUUGAAGUGUGGACGCCAGUCUGCAUGGAGCCGGCCUUGAAAUACCACCCUUUAAUGUUUGAUGUUCUAACGUGGACCCGUGAUCCGGGUUGCGGACAGUGUCUGGUGGGUAGUUUGACUGGGGCGGUCUCCUCCUAAAGAGUAACGGAGGAGCACGAAGGUUGGCUAAUCCUGGUCGGACAUCAGGAGGUUAGUGCAAUGGCAUAAGCCAGCUUGACUGCGAGCGUGACGGCGCGAGCAGGUGCGAAAGCAGGUCAUAGUGAUCCGGUGGUUCUGAAUGGAAGGGCCAUCGCUCAACGGAUAAAAGGUACUCCGGGGAUAACAGGCUGAUACCGCCCAAGAGUUCAUAUCGACGGCGGUGUUUGGCACCUCGAUGUCGGCUCAUCACAUCCUGGGGCUGAAGUAGGUCCCAAGGGUAUGGCUGUUCGCCAUUUAAAGUGGUACGCGAGCUGGGUUUAGAACGUCGUGAGACAGUUCGGUCCCUAUCUGCCGUGGGCGCUGGAGAACUGAGGGGGGCUGCUCCUAGUACGAGAGGACCGGAGUGGACGCAUCACUGGUGUUCGGGUUGUCAUGCCAAUGGCACUGCCCGGUAGCUAAAUGCGGAAGAGAUAAGUGCUGAAAGCAUCUAAGCACGAAACUUGCCCCGAGAUGAGUUCUCCCUGACCCUUUAAGGGUCCUGAAGGAACGUUGAAGACGACGACGUUGAUAGGCCGGGUGUGUAAGCGCAGCGAUGCGUUGAGCUAACCGGUACUAAUGAACCGUGAGGCUUAACCUUACAACGCCGAAG